AAUCAACGCUGGCGGCGUGCCUCAGACAUGCAAGUCGAACGAUUAAAGCUCUCUUCGGAGAGUGCAUAGAGUGGCGCACGGGUGAGUAACACGUAAGUAAUCUACCCUCGAGUGGGGAAUAACAGUCGGAAACGACUGCUAAUACCGCAUAAUGCAAAGUCAUCGCAAGGUGACAUUGUUAAAGAUUUAUCGCUUGAGGAGGAGCUUGCGGCAGAUUAGCUAGUUGGUAAGGUAAUGGCUUACCAAGGCUACGAUCUGUAACCGGUCUAAGAGGACGGUCGGUCACACUGACACUGAAUAACGGGUCAGACUCCUACGGGAGGCAGCAGUCGGGAAUUUUGGGCAAUGGGCGAAAGCCUGACCCAGCAACGCCGCGUGA
rnacentral:rRNA from 1 species